UGGGGAAUAUUGGACAAUGGGGGCAACCCUGAUCCAGCAAUGCCGCGUGAGUGAUGAAGGCCUUAGGGUUGUAAAGCUCUUUUACCCACGACGAUGAUGACGGUAGUGGGAGAAUAAGCCCCGGCUAACUUCGUGCCAGCAGCCGCGGUAAUACGAAGGGGGCUAGCGUUGUUCGGAGUUACUGGGCGUAAAGGGCGCGUAGGCGGCGCAUCAAGUCAGGCGUGAAAGCCCUGGGCUCAACCCGGGAAUUGCGCUUGAGACUGGUGUGCUUGAGUACGGGAGAGGAUAGUGGAAUUCCCAGUGUAGAGGUGAAAUUCGUAGAUAUUGGGAAGAACACCGGUGGCGAAGGCGGCUAUCUGGACCGUAACUGACGCUGAGGCGCGAAAGCGUGGGGAGCAAACAG
rnacentral:rRNA from 1 species